rnacentral:rRNA from 1 species
UACGUAGGUGGCGAGCGUUGUCCGGAUUUACUGGGCGUAAAGGGAGCGUAGGCGGACUUUUAAGUGAGAUGUGAAAUACUCGGGCUCAACUUGAGUGCUGCAUUUCAAACUGGAAGUCUAGAGUGCAGGAGAGGAGAAUGGAAUUCCUAGUGUAGCGGUGAAAUGCGUAGAGAUUAGGAAGAACACCAGUGGCGAAGGCGAUUCUCUGGACUGUAACUGACGCUGAGGCUCGAAAGCGUGGGGAGCAAAUAGG